rnacentral:misc_RNA from 1 species
GAUGAAGAACGUAGCGAAAUGCGAUAAGUAGUGUGAAUUGCAGAAUUCAGUGAAUCAUCGAAUCUUUGAACGCACAUUGCGCCCCUUGGUAUUCCAUGGGGCAUGCCUGUUCGAGCGUCAUUUGUACCUUCAAGCUCUGCUUGGUGUUGGGUGUUUGUCUCGCCUCUGCGUGUAGACUCGCCUCAAAACAAUUGGCAGCCGGCGUAUUGAUUUCGGAGCGCAGUACAUCUCGCGCUUUGCACUCAUAACGACGACGUCCAAAAGUACAUUUUUAUACUCUUGACCUCGGAUCAGGUAGGGAUACCCGCUGAACUUAAGCAUAUCAAUAAGCGGAGGA